rnacentral:rRNA from 1 species
CCUACGGGAGGCAGCAGUGGGGAAUAUUGGGCAAUGGGCGCAAGCCUGACCCAGCAACGCCGCGUGAAGGAAGAAGGCUCUCGGGUUGUAAACUUCUUUUAUCAGGGACGAAGCAAGUGACGGUACCUGAUGAAUAAGCCACGGCUAACUACGUGCCAGCAGCCGCGGUAAUACGUAGGUGGCAAGCGUUAUCCGGAUUUACUGGGUGUAAAGGGCGUGUAGGCGGGAGAGCAAGUCAGAGGUGAAAACCAUGGGCUCAACCUGUGGCCUGCAUUUGAAACUGUUUUUCUUGAGUACUGGAGAGGUAGACGGAAUUCCUAGUGUAGCGGUGAAAUGCGUAGAUAUUAGGAGGAACACCAGGGGCGAAGGCGGUCUGCUGGACAGCAACUGACGCUGAGGCGCGAAAGCGUGGGGAGCAAACAGGAUUAGAUACCCCAGUAGUC